rnacentral:rRNA from 1 species
CCUACGGGUGGCAGCAGUGGGGAAUAUUGCACAAUGGGGGAAACCCUGAUGCAGCGACGCAGCGUGAGGGAAGAAGGAUUUCGGGAUGGAAAGCUCUAUCAGCAGGGAAGAAAAUGACGGUACCUGACUAAGAAGCCCCGUCUAACGACGGGACAGCAGCCGCGGUAAUACGUAGGGGGCAAGCGUUAACCGGAUUUACUGGGUGUAAAGGGAGCGUAGAGGGAAUAGCAAGUCUGAAGUGAAAGUCCGCGGCCCAACUGUAGGAUUGCUUUGGAUACUGCCAGUCUAGAGUGCUGGUGAGGUAAGCGGAAUUCCUGGUGUAGCGGUGAAAUGCGUAGAUAUCAGGAGGAACCCCAGUGGCGAAGGCAGCUUACUGGACUGUAACUGACGUUGAGGCUCGAAAGCGUGGGGAGCAAACAGGAUUAGAUACCCGGGUAGUC